rnacentral:tRNA from 1 species
AGUUAUAUAGUCUUAAAGAUAUUAAAUUGCAAAUUUAAAGAUGAAUAUAAAAUAUUCUGUAACUU